rnacentral:rRNA from 1 species
CCUACGGGUGGCAGCAGUGGGGGAUAUUGCACAAUGGGGGGAACCCUGAUGCAGCGCCGCCGCGUGGGUGAAGAAGCGCCUCGGCGCGUAAAGCCCUGUCAGCAGGGAAGAAAAUGACGGUACCUGAAGAAGAAGCCCCGGCAAACUACUUGCCAGCAGCCGCCGUAAUACGUAGGGGGCAAGCGUUAUCCGGAUUUACUGGGUGUACAGGGGUCGCAGACGGCGAUGCAAGGCAGCGGUCAAGUUGCUGGGUUAAACCCCGUUCUGCCGUUGAAACUUCAUCCCUUGAGUGCGCGAGAGGUAUGCGGAAUGCGUGGUGUAGCGGUGAAAUGCAUAGAUAUAACGCAGAACUCCGAUUGCGAAGGCAGCAUACCGGCGCGCAACUGACGCUCAUGCACGAAAGCGUGGGUAUCGAACAGGAUUAGAUACCCCAGUAGUC